CUUAUUUGAUUCUUUUUCUUACCUCGCCGAAAGCCUGCCUGCCCGAGCCCUCGCUGCGCGCCGAUUCCUCCGUGCCCUAACCGCCGGCCACUCGGCGGUUCCCUCCUCUCCUCUCCCACGCGUGCAUAAGCCCCGGACCAAGGGAGAAGCCGACGCCUUCUCCUCUCUGUGCUUGUGCCCGCGCGACGCCCAGCCUCACUGUCUCACCUUCGACAGCCACUCUUCGCCGCCGCCCACGAUCCGCCGGCCGUCGCUGAGCCCUGCCGAAGCCGCUGCCCUCACUGGACCGGAGCAGCGCCGUCGCCGUGCCCUAGCACCGCCACCGCACCAUCUCCUCACCUCUGCCGGCCACCGAUCCGAGCUCUAGCACCAGGGCCUCUCGUCGGCACAAACCUCACUAAUCAAACCACCUGUUCCGACCCCGACCGCUGUGCCCAAAUUCCUCGCCGCCAUUCCUUCGUCGAAGCAGAAUCAGCGACGGUGUUGCUAGUCACCGCAGAGGGUUUGGCAUCACAGCUGCCGAGGACCUGCCAUCACCCUUUUCCUUUCCUCUUUGCCCUAGCCGUCUCCACACGAUCGCUUGACUUUGUCUCUGCGUGCCACUACCGAUCUAUCGCCGAUGUUCCCGUGUCCUAGUAACGAUUCUCAAGGAGGAAGAUUUUGGAUCGUUCUUGCUGUUUUUCCUGAUCGGAGCUUGGACUCCUUCUUUGCAGAGGGAAAUUAGGGCUACUGGUUGAAGCAGAUUGGCUCACUCUGUUCCAACAGCUACUACCUUGAAAUUCUAGCAGCAAACACCCUUUGUUUCAGCAACAACAGCAAUUGAUAAUUUGAGGAUUUUGACACGAGACGAGUAUCUCGGAGUCGGAUUGGACAUUUCUUAUUGGAGGCGGG